rnacentral:rRNA from 1 species
ACUCCUACGGGAGGCAGCAGUGGGGAAUAUUGCACAAUGGGGAAACCCUGAUGCAGCCAUGCCGCGUGUGUGAAGAAGGCCUUCGGUUGUAAAGCACUUUCAGUAGGGAGGAAGGUAGUGUAGUUAACACCUGCACUAUUUGACGUUACCUACAGAAGAAGCACCGGCUAACUCCGUGCCAGCAGCCGCGGUAAUACGGAGGGGUGCGAGCGUUAAUCGGAAUUACUGGGCGUAAAGCGCAUGCAGGCGGCCUGUUAAGUCAGAUGUGAAAGCCCGGGGGCUUAACCUCGGAAUUGCAUUUGAAACUGGCAGGCUAGAGUCUUGUAGAGGGGGUAGAAUUUCAGGUGUAGCGGUGAAAUGCGUAGAGAUCUGAAGGAAUACCAGUGGCGAAGGCGGCCCCCUGGACAAAGACUGACGCUCAGAUGCGAAAGCGUGGGGAGCAAACAGGAUUAGAUACCCUGGUAGGACA